GUUUUAUAUAAUUUAAUAUAAAAUUACGUUUCUUAGAUUUCUUAAAAUGUAUUAAAAUGCUACGGAUUUAUUCAGAAUACUUAAUGAUAUUCAUUACUUCAAUCCUCGCUUAUUCUUUAAUAAUUCAUGGCAAAGCAAUUCCAGGUCCAGGAGAUGAAGUUACCACUCAUCAACUUGAUUUGAAAAAUCUAGUAGCACACGGUGUUAUCGUUGGGUUAAUAGGAUAAUGAAUGAGAUCGAACACACUUUUAUUUAAGCUUAAAUUUAAAUUAUAUUAUAUUCGGAUUUCAUAAUAUUAUAUUUUAUGGCUAAAAACUUUCAUCAAUAUAUAAUAUAACGGCAUUAUUUAAUUUUUUUCUUUAAAUUUUCUAGAAUUCGAAAGUGUUGUGUUAAAUCAAAAUAGUACUAUCUUUCAUAAACUACUUUUCGUUGAUGAUAAAUGUGGGGAUUGAUAUAAAACUUAAAAUAUAUUAAUAACCAUCAUUUUUAAUUUCACUGAUGAUUCAAAUUGUAAAUUUUGUUGAUUGUU